AGAGUUUGAUCCUGGCUCAGAUUGAACGCUGGCGGCAUGCCUUACACAUGCAAGUCGAACGGCAGCACGGAGCUUGCUCUGGUGGCGAGUGGCGAACGGGUGAGUAAUAUAUCGGAACGUACCCUAGAGUGGGGGAUAACGUAGCGAAAGUUACGCUAAUACCGCAUACGAUCUAAGGAUGAAAGUGGGGGAUCGCAAGACCUCAUGCUCGUGGAGCGGCCGAUAUCUGAUUAGCUAGUUGGUAGGGUAAAAGCCUACCAAGGCAUCGAUCAGUAGCUGGUCUGAGAGGACGACCAGCCACACUGGAACUGAGACACGGUCCAGACUCCUACGGGAGGCAGCAGUGGGGAAUUUUGGACAAUGGGCGAAAGCCUGAUCCAGCAAUGCCGCGUGAGUGAAGAAGGCCUUUGGGUUGUAAAGCUCUUUUGUCAGGGAAGAAACGGUGAAAGCUAAUAUCUUCUGCUAAUGGCGGUACCUGAAGAAUAAGCACCGGCUAACUACGUGCCAGCAGCCGCGGUAAUACAUAGGGUGCAAGCGUUAAUCGGAAUUACUGGGCGUAAAGCGUGCGCAGGCGGUUUUGUAAGUCUGAUGUGAAAUCCCCGGGCUCAACCUGGGAACUGCAUUCAAAACUGACUGACUAGAGUAUGGUAGAGGGUGGUGGGAUUUCCUGUGUAGCGGUGAAUUGGGUAGAUAUAGGAAGG
rnacentral:rRNA from 1 species